GCUUGCACCCGGUACUCGAGUGGCGAACGGGUGAGUAACACGUGGGUGAUCUGCCCUGCACUUCGGGAUAAGCCUGGGAAACUGGGUCUAAUACCGGAUAGGACCAUUGGUUGGUACUGGUGGUGGAAAGUUUUUCGGUGCAGGAUGAGCUCGCGGCCUAUCAGCUUGUUGGUGGGGUAAUGGCCUACCAAGGCGGCGACGGGUAGCCGGCCUGAGAGGGUGGACGGCCACAUUGGGACUGAGACACGGCCCAGACUCCUACGGGAGGCAGCAGUGGGGAAUAUUGCACAAUGGGCGCAAGCCUGAUGCAGCGACGCCGCGUGGGGGAUGACGGCCUUCGGGUUGUAAACUCCUUUCAACCAUGACGAAGCUUUUGUGACGGUAGUGGUAGAAGAAGCACCGGCUAACUACGUGCCAGCAGCCGCGGUAAUACGUAGGGUGCGAGCGUUGUCCGGAAUUACUGGGCGUAAAGAGCUCGUAGGUGGUUUGUCGCGUCGUCUGUGAAAUUCCGGGGCUCAACUCCGGGCGUGCAGGCGAUACGGGCAUAACUUGAGUGCUGUAGGGGAGACUGGAAUUCCUG
rnacentral:rRNA from 1 species